GGUGGCUCAGUGGUAGAGUGCAUGACUUGCAUGCCUGAGGCCCUGGGUUCGAUUCCCCAGCACCA
rnacentral:tRNA from 1 species